UAAUUUUAUAGUCCGUAUAUGUAAUUUGGCCACAUAAUUUGACUGCUCUUUAUAAAAACAAAUAACCACAUGCACAGUCCUUUUAUGUAGGGGUUCUCAUUCCCUUUAGGCACACCUACUGUAGUAUAAAAAAUUAAUGCCAGUGUGCCGGUGGCCUCUCACCAUCCGACAGCCUGUACGCAAUCCUAUUUGCUGACCUGCUGGCACGACAGUAUCGAAACAGGCCCUAACGCUAUUCCCCGUGGUGUUUCAUUGCAUGGUUUUCAAGAGCGCUACAGUCGCGUGAUCUCAUUGCAUGGUUUCAGUGCAGUUCAUGAACGAAAUAGUAUCCCCCAAUGCAAAAUUUCCUCGCAUGGUUUCAUAGAUGCGCCAUAGCAUUUAUAUCAAGCAUGCGAUUGGACACGAUCGGAUGAAAUGAAACUCUAAAUUUCAACAGGAAUCAUAUUCUUGGAAUCAGUGUAUAAUACAUAGGUGGUGUUUGGAUCCAAAGUUGAUGGGCUAAAGUUUAGUCCCUAAAAUUUAGCCCCUAAAAUUUAGUCCUUGUAGGGUGUUUGGAUCCAUGAGCUAAAAUUUAGUCUUCCUUGUUGUAAUGACCGAUUUACCCUCAUUUAUUGAUUGCACAUGCAAGGAGGGAGGGUAUAGUGGACGGUAUACACUGCCUGCUCUACUCCACUCGAGAGGGCUGCCUCCGUCGUACUUGUACCGUUCGCGCACCAGCAGCCUCUAGCCAUGGGGUGCAAGGGGUCCAAGCUCGACAACCAGGAGGCCGUCGCGCUGUGCCGCGGGCGCGCGGUGCUGCUCACCGCGACCGUGCGUGGACCGCUAUGCGCUCACCAAGGCGCACGCCACGCCCGCGGACUCCGUCGAGUCCCUCGUGGCGGUGCUGCACCGCCUCCUCCACCAGCCGGAGCCGCCGGUGCUCGCGCUGCCCUUCGAGCGCUAGGGGCGGCGGCGGCCCUUCGACCCUCCGGCGCAAGCUCCCGAAGAAGUCCCUGGUGCCGGAGACGGAGGAGAUCGGGCGAGCGGGGCGGCGGCGGCCUUGCGGGUGCGGGUGGAGGCCGGAGGUCCCCGCCGGCGGAGCCGAGCAGUGCCGCCACCGCGGAGAUGGCCGUGGCGACGGAGGGCGCCGGGAGUGCCGCCACGGUGCCCAGCUCCUCCAGCGCGGCACCGGGAGCACAUGGGUCUACUCCCGCCUCCCGGAUCCAACGCGGCGCCGGUAGGACACGGAGAGGGCGGAGGAGGAGGCGGAGAUCUGGCAGCGGCCGCGGCCCCCAGAUCUGGUGGCCGGUGGCAUCGAGGCCGCUGGCGGCGAGGUCGAGGCGGCAGCGGAGGAGGCGGAGGAGGAGGUGGUGGCGGGGGCGGAGAAGGAGGCGGAGAAGGAGGUGGCCGGCGGCGGCGGGAGCGAGGCGGAGGUGGCGGGGCCGAGCAGAGAUGGCGGGGUCGGUAAGGCGGCGGCGGCGGGCGAAGGAGGCGGGGCUGGGCGGAGCAUGCGGGGAGGGAGGAGAGAGUGCGGGGAGAGAGAGAGUGCGGGGAGGCGAGGGGCGCGUGACUAGGGUGCUGUGCGAGGGGAGGGGUAUGGAGUGUCUAGGAUCACUUUUAGCCCCUUUUAGGGCCUCUUUGGGGGCUGAAAUUUAGCUCCAAAAUUUUAGCUAUUUGUCACUUUUAGCCCUCCCGUUUGGAUCCCAAGAGCUAAAUUUUGAGCUAAAAGUGUAAGACUAAAACUUAGUCCAUGGAUCCAAACAGGCCCAUAGUUUCAUCUUGAUGAAACUCCUUUCCCCUCUCUCUCUCUUCAUAAUUACCUUACCAUGUCAUCAUAAAUGCUAAUGUGACACCGUAUUUAAUGUGCAUGAAAACUUCAUGAAACUUGCAGGGAGAAUAGCCUAAGGUCAUCUCGAUGGGAGUUUCAUGGCAUUAAAUUCAAUGACAAGUCAGCAAAGUUGCUAACUUGUAAAGAUAAUUAAUAGAGGAAGUUUCAUCCGAUGAGAGAAAAGUUUCAUCCUCAUGAUACUCAUCUGGCACAAUUACCUAAUUCUCAGUCUAGGUAACUGUGCAAUGAAACUAUGUACUGAGAUUGGCCUAAGAACCACAAAGAGACUAGCUGGUUAUUAGUGAAUUUGUUGGUAAACUCUAAACAAUUUCAGUUCCAUAAUACAAGUUGUUUUAGUCAUAGUCACACGAAUUAAAGGCAAUGAAUGGACCAUUAUCCUAUCUUUAGCUAGUACUCUCUAAAGUGUGCAUUCAUUAAGUAGGGGCAGGACCAGAAAGUUGCCGGUGGUAGAACAACAAAUAUUUUAAAAGCACUUGUCUAUAGCACACUGAACAUUUUUUUCAACAUUUGUUUUUUGAUUGUCAUUUUGCACGCACAGUGUAGUCCAUCAAACAUGCGGUUUCAGAUCUUCCGCAACCUUAUAGCAUAUCACAUAGAACUACGCCAAAAAUGAUUUGUGUUGGAACAAGAAAAUUAGUAUGCUGGGCAUGAUUGGCACCCGCCAGCACAAAGGUGACUAGUACCACCGGGCGAGGAUCCGCUAGCACAGUGCUGCUGAGCUGCAUGCUUCUCUAUUCUUCCCUCACCGGCUCACGUACGCCUCUCCCUAAUCUAUUCCCCUCCACUCUCUCUCUCUCCCAUUGCAACCGAGGCAUGGGCGCACGGGGCCGGAGCCAGGCGGCGCGUGCUGGCUCCAAAAGAGGCGAGGUGAGGCCCGGCGGCGUGCGGGGCUCGGCCACUGGCACGUGAAACCCGGCGGUGCUCCGGAGGCGGCGGCGCGCGAGGCCCGGCGGCCGCACGGGGCUGGAGGUGGAGCCUCCCUGGCUAGAGGCGGCACACGGGCCCUCCUCAGAUCCGCCACCGCUCAUACAUCUCUUCAGGAUGUGGCAGAUCUGAGGAUGGUCAUGAGGUCUCGACAUUGUUGGGUUGGCGGCUGCUGCGGUUGUGAGGUCCCAGCGCUGAGGAAGAGGAAGGACAUGGUCCAGGACUAGGAGGCGGGAGUGGUGGUGCUGGAGACGGUGGAGGAGGCCGCAGAUGAGCAGAGGUCGUCCAUUGGCACGACAUUAGAGGACGAGGAGAAGGUGGACAGUGGGGACACGGCGGCGUCUGCGGCGGCGAGUAGGAAGGGUGCUGGUGGUGUGCUCUCAUGCACGGACGGCCUCGACGAUGCGGGAUGCCAGUGUGGGACGGCCUGCUCAAGCUGCAGCAGCGGCAGGCGACGACGUGCGGGGCAGUGCACCACAACAGCUUUUUUUAUUUUGAAAAAUCAACUGUGCUGGCAGGUGACGUAACCGCCCGCCAGCACAGUGGUUCACUGUGCUGGUGGACAAGCACCCACUAUCACGGUGGCUCAUUUCUGCUAGCUCAUGAUUGUUGGUGGGUGCUAGACCCGCCGGCAUAGUGGUGUUUUGGCCGCCAACAAAAAUCGUUUUUGGUGUAGUGUAUGUUUGAAAAUUGGUUAUGGGGUAUAAGCAAAGAAAUGAAACGACUAGUCGUGUGCUAGAAGCAGCUGCUACUUGUUGGUCGCUAUGGCUAUGCAGGAAUGAUUGUGUCUUUGAAAGAAAACUUAAUCCUACAAAAUCUUCUUAGUUAUUCAUUAGCUUCAUUCGCGGAUUAUACUAAAAAACCAGCUUCACAGGUCCAGCAAUAGAGAUUAGCUCGUGGGAACCCAAACCCUAACCUCAUCAAAGGCGGAGGAGUUUGCGCCUUGGAUUGGGAAAAGAGAAAGAAGCAAAAAUUGGCUGUGAGGGGACAAGAAAAUGUUUGAAUAAGAUAUUGCUUUUCUGGUUUAAAAAUGUUAUUGGAAUAUGCGUGUUGGCCAUGCAUGUGAACGUGUAACGAUGUAACAAGGGGUGGUAAUAGAUGAUGGCUCUCAUGUCUUCUUCACAAUUCAACUUAGCCAUACAUAUUUUUAGUUCAAAACAUAUAAUAUUAUGGUCCGGCCUUUAUCGAGUCCAACGUUGUUUAAAUUUCGUAGGAUAAAUUAAAAGGUCCAUUACCACCCCUAGGUGUAACAGCUUGUACGUGCAGGUUAGAUCCGCUAGAAUAGGGCAGCUAGAUAUGAGUUAGUUGCCGCACGUCCCUGCCUUGUAGAUGUACUUAUACACAUCACGAGUUAAUACAAUCGUUGUCGACUUGACUCACAGCUCUCUCGUUUAUAUGGUGGAGGUGAUGGGCACAGGAGUGAUGAGGCAACACGAUAAUGGCUCCUCCAUGGUCCAUGCAUUGAUGGGGUUAGUGAGGGAGUGGACGGCAGCGGUGGAUCUAGCGGCUCUUACCAGAAAGAAGUGCAUAUGGGCCUGUUUGGUAGAGCUCCAGCUCUGAAAAAAUAGCUCCAAAUCCAUAGAUCCAGCUAGCUCCACCAUAGAGCUGCUCCACCGUGAAUCUAAUAUCUCAAAAAGCGUUUGGUACAACUCCAUUCUUGUCUUUUAUCUCACUGGCAAUUUGGGCCCAUUCAUCAGAAUAAAAAAUAUCUCCUUCCUGACGCUGUUGCACGCAUGGUUGAGGUGCUGGAGGGCACGGCCUCGCCGGCGGCCUCGCGCGCACUGGCGGGCUAGCGGCCACGCCGGCGGCCAGGCGACCUCGUGCGCGCGGGCGGGCGCGGCCGCGCCGGCGGCCAGGCGACCGGGUGCGGGGCGGUGCUCCGACGGGCGAAGCGGGGCGGCGGGCGGGCACGGCCUCACCGGCGGCCGGGUGUGGGGCGGGGCUCCGGCGGGCGGGACGGCGCUCCGGCAGGCGGCGUGCUGGCAGGCGUGGCCCCGCCGGUGGCCAGGCGGGCGGGUGCGGGAUGGGGCGCCGGCGGGCGGGACGGCGCUCGAGCGGGUGGGGCGCGCGGGCCGCCGGCGAAGCAAGACGGCGCUCCAACGGGCGGGGCGGUGCUCCGGCGGGUACGGGGUGGCGGUCCGGCGGGCGGGGCGCGGUGGGGCUGCGGCGAGCGGGGCGCGGCCAUGGCAGCGCGAGAGGAAGCUGUGAAGAAAUAGAACGAACCGGUCAUUUUCCACUAAUGAGUGGCAGUGGUGGGUAAUUUCCUCCAACUCCACCAACUCCAUGGAUCUGAGGGUAGAUCCACCGUUUUCGUGGAGCAGAUCCGUGGUGGAGUUGUUGGAUCUAAAACCGUUUGGCUGAAAAAAUCUAGAGCAGAGCUGUUUUUGAGGAUCUGGAGCUGCGUGGAGCUCUACCAAACACAGGAACAAGAUGAGAUAUCCACUAUUGGAUGGAGAUCUAAUGGUCCGAAAAAAUUGGGUAUGGAGAGGAAAUUAAAAAAUGUUCAGGUGUGGUAUACAAACAUGUCUUUAAAAAUACUUAUUGUUUUACCACUCAAAGGAAACUGACCAUGUUUUUCCAUCCUGCCCAUCAAUGAUAAAUGCGCUUUUAAGAGUACUCGAAUUUUGUCUUACAGAGAGUAUCUUUUUAGCUUAUAGUGAGUCUCAUCUAAUUAAUUAAAGCAAUACUCAUACCAAUAACAAAAAUGUAUAGCGAAAGGUCCUCUAACCUAGUGGUUAGAGCACUUGACUGGCAUCAAGCAAACCUCACUGACUGUUGUCCUCUUGGUUAGCUGUCUUUUUUUUUUCCCUACAAUGAGAUUUGUAUCACAGGCUGGCAAAUAAACAGGCGAAAACAGUAGAUCUCAAUUGCAUAAUUCAUGGAUGAAUUUGAAGAACCUUGGUGAGUAGUAGGGUGGUAUCUUCACACCUUUCUCUACCACGCCAGCGACGUAUGCUUAAUUCCCUCCAAGUUCUAAUAGUUUAUUACACUAAAUGAAACAAAAUUCUAUAUCAAACACAUGGAAGAAAAGUGUCGGCGUCAAGUGCACUUAAUUUUCUGAGAUUAAAUGUAUUAAAUAAUAUGAAAUUAGCAAUUAUGGUCUACAACAGCAAGUACAUAAAAAUAAGAUCUUUUUGCUUUCUGGUACUACUUGGUGUCACAAUAUAUUUGCUGCUUUAGCUUUAGAUAAAUAAAUCCAGAAAUUCAAAAAAUAGAAAAGUCAGCCUGAAAAUAACUCUUUCCGAGCCAAGUAUAUAUAUAGAGGUAUUUUACGGUACACAAUACUACCUUAUACUACUGUUCGAAAAGGACUCGUAUGUAAGGAUCCAACGGUUGAGAUUAAUUGUAUACUACAAGAACCUUAAGUUGUAGUAUAGGUAGUAUGCAUGAGUAGUAUAUGUCGUAUAAGGAUAUCAUAGUAACCCAAAUGACAGGACUAAAAUUUUAUUUUUGACACGCAUAAAGUUUAAAAGGUAAUAAUUACUAAAUCAUCUAUAGUUAUGAACAUUUAGAUCUUAUAUAUACUAUAUACUACUAAGUAGUAGUAUUGUGUAUCGUAAAAGAGUUCGAUCUUGAAGUUUAUAGCAGAUCGUGUGUCAAAAACUUCUGUUCCAUUAUUUUGUUUGACUUCUUGUAAAUAUGUUAUGUUAUGGUAAAUUCGUCUCCUUAAUGUAGUAAUUGGUUGCUUGAUGAAAAAGUGGUAACUCCCCCUCCUAAUUAUUCUCCUAAUUAUUGUUUCUCGUCAUCCAAAUUCUUGUAAACAUUUCUUGUCCCCUGGUCAUUACAGUAACUGGUCCCUUGGUAACAGCUUGACGACUCAAAAUUGUGGUAAUUCUACAUCCUAAAUUUAUAAUUAUCGCCUUGUGACUUCCAAAUUCUCGUGACUAAUUCAUGGUAAAUUUGUUCCGUUAUUAUAGUAAUUGGUUUCUUGAAAACACACAAGAUUGUAGUAACUCUCCAUCCUAAUUAUCGUCUCGUGGCAUCCGCAUUCUCUUAACGAUUUAAUGGUAAAUUCAACUCAUCAUAAUAUAGUACCGAUUUCCUAUGUCGUCACUCUUCUCUGUAUCAUGUAUUUUUGUAAGUGUCUAAAUAUUUACCAUAUAUAUCGUGUAUUUUUGUAAGUGUCUAAAUAUUUACCAUAUAUUGCAUGCACUAGUUCUACGUUUAUAUCAGAAUGGUCUCGUUCUCUUAACACAAAAACAUGCCUGAUUAAAAAGAAAAUCACGUACACAUGCAGCACGUGUACACAAACCUUGCUUGCUCACUUAUUAUCGUAACCCAGACCACUAGCUUGCACGCACGCCACAACCGUGAACUCAAAAUUCCCGAAACAACCGUCAACAAAUCAACCGGAAUUAACUACGUGUUUAUUUACCAUAAUCACCGUAAUUAAUGUGUGCUCCAACCUGCUCAGCUGGUGCAUGCAACGGACGCGGCCAGCAGGCCACGAGGAGCCCGGUUCUUUGGGUGGCUGGUUAGAUAAGCUAGUUUAUAGCCGGCAACGGAGUAUACUCGAUUAUAUUUAGUAUUUCUUAAAAUUUGUUCCACGUAAAGUUACGUCUAUCACUAUAACACGUGGAUCAAAUGGAAAAGAUAAUUUUAUAGUCUGUAUAUGUAAUUUGGCCACAUAAUUUGACUGCUCUUUAUAAAAACAAAUAACCACAUGCACAGUUUUAUGUAGGGGUUCUCAUUCCCUUUAGGCACACCUACUGUAGUAUAAAAAAUUAAGUGUGCCGGUGGCCUCUCACCAUCAGAUAACCUGUACGCAAUCCUAUUUGCUGACCUGCUGGCACGACGGUAUCGAAACAGGCCCUAACGCUAUUCCCAGUGGUGUUUCAUUGCAUGGUUUCCAAGAGCGCUACAGUCGCGUGAUUUCAUUGCAUGGUAUCAGUGCAGUUCAUGAACGAAAUAGUGUCCCCCAAUGCAAAAUUUCCUCACAUGGUUUCAUAGACACGCCAUAGCAUUUAUAUCAAGCAUGGGAUUGGAUACAAUCGGAUGAAAUCAAACUCUAAGUUUCAACAGGUUUCAUAUUUUUGGAAUCAAUGCAUAAUACAUAAUUUCAUCUUGAUGAAACUCCUUUCCCC
rnacentral:lncRNA from 1 species